UACGUAGGGGGCAAGCGUUGUCCGGAAUCAUUGGGCGUAAAGCGCGCGUAGGCGGCCCUGUAAGUCCGUUGUGAAAGUCGAAGGCUCAACCUUCGAAAGCCGAUGGAUACUGCAGGGCUAGAGUCCGUAAGAGGCGAGUGGAAUUCCUGGUGUAGCGGUGGAAUGCGCAGAUAUCAGGAGGAACACCAAUAGCGAAGGCGGGUCUCUGGGCAGUAACUGACGCUGAGGAGCGAAAGCGUGGGGAGCGAACAGG
rnacentral:rRNA from 1 species